AUAGCGUAUAUUAAAGUUGUUGCAGUUAAAAAGCUCGUAGUUGAAUUUUAGGCUUGGUUGGACGGUCUGCCUUAGGGUUUGUACUGUCCUGGCUGGGUCUUACCUUCUGGUAAACUGUCGUGUCGUUUAUUCGGCGCGGCAGGGAACCAGGACUUUUACUUUGAAAAAAUUAGAGUGUUUAAAGCAGGCUUCUCGCUUGAAUACAUUAGCAUGGAAUAAUAGAAUAGGACUUUUGGUUCUAUUUUGUUGGUUUCUAGGACCGAAGUAAUGAUUAAUAGGGAUAGUUGGGGGCAUUAGUAUUUAAUUGUCAGAGGUGAAAUUCUUGGAUUUAUUGAAGACUAACUACUG
rnacentral:rRNA from 1 species